GUGAGGAAUAUUGGUCAAUGGGCGAGAGCCUGAACCAGCCAAGUCGCGUGAAGGAAGAAGGAUCUAUGGUUCGUAAACUUCUUUUGCAGGGGAAUAAAGUGCAGGACGUGUCCUGUUUUGUAUGUACCCUGAGAAUAAGGAUCGGCUAACUCCGUGCCAGCAGCCGCGGUAAUACGGAGGAUCCGAGCGUUAUCCGGAUUUAUUGGGUUUAAAGGGUGCGUAGGUGGUUUGAUAAGUCAGAGGUGAAAGUUUGCAGCUUAACUGUAAAAAUGCCGUUGAAACUGUCGGACUUGAGUGUAAAUGAGGUAGGCGGAAUGCGUGGUGUAGCGGUGAAAUGCAUAGAUAUCACGCAGAACUCCGAUUGCGAAGGCAGCUUACUAAGCUACAACUGACACUGAAGCACGAAAGCGUGGGGAUCAAACAGGAUUAGAUACCCUGGUAGUCC
rnacentral:rRNA from 1 species